UACGUAGGUGGCGAGCGUUUGUCCGGAAUUAUUGGGCGUAAAGAGCGUGUAGGCGGUCCGGUAAGUCAGCUGUGAAAGUCAAGGGCUCAACCCUUGAAUGCCGGUUGAUACUGUCGGGCUAGAGUCCGGAAGAGGCGAGUGGAAUUCCUGGUGUAGCGGUGGAAUGCGCAGAUAUCAGGAGGAACACCGAUGGCGAAGGCAGAUCUCUGGGCCGUAACUGACGCUGAGGAGCGAAAGCGUGGGGGAGCGAACAGG
rnacentral:rRNA from 1 species